CACGGUAAAAGCUCAGUAACACGUGGCUAACCUGCCCUUGGGACGAGAACAACCCCGGGAAACUGGGGCUAAGUCGCGAUAGGCGAAGAACUCUGGAAUGAGUCUUCACCUAAAAGACAUUGCGUUAUGCUCGUAGUGUCGCCCAAGGAUGGGGCCGCGACCGAUCAGGUUGUUGGUGAGGUAAUGGCUCACCAAGCCUUUUACCGGUGCGGGCCGUGGGAGCGGGAGCCCGGAGAUGGGCACUGAGACAAGGGCCCAGGCCCUACGGGGCGCAGCAGUCGCGAAAACUUUGCAAUAAGCGAAAGCUUGACAGGGCUAUCCCGAGUGCCAUCCGCUGAGGAAGGCUUUUACCCAGUCUACAACGCUGGGGGAAUAAGGAGAGGGCAAGUCUGGUGUCAGCCGCCGCGGUAAUACCAGCUCUCCGAGUGGUGUGGAUGUUUAUUGGGCCUAAAGCAUCCGUAGCUGGCUAGGUAAGUCCCCUGUUAAAUCCACCGAAUUAAUCGUUGGAUUGCGGGGGAUACUGCUUGGCUAGGGGACGAGAGAGGCAGACGGUAUUUCCGGGGUAGGGGUGAAAUCCUAUAAUCCCGGGAAGACCACCAGUGGCGAAGGCUGUCUGCUAGAACGCGCCCGACGGUGAGGGAUGAAAGCUGGGGGAGCGAACCGGAUUAGAUACCCGGGUAGUCCCAGCUGUAAACGAUGCAGACUAGGUGUUUGGACGGCCACGUGCCGUUCUAGUGCCGCAGGGAAGCUGUUAAGUCUGCCGCCUGGGGAGUACGAUCGCAAGAUUGAACUUAAAGGCCA
rnacentral:rRNA from 1 species